GCCACCCGGCUCCAUCCCUCCUGACCUCGUGGGUCCCUCCACGCGGGCCAAGCCGCAGGCCGCAGAGAAUCGGGGCCGCAGCGGCUGCGCUGGAGACCACAAGAAUACAGGUGACCAGCGGGCGAAGCCAGCCCCGACCGCCUCAGGUUCCCAGCCUCUGAGGGGCUCCAGAGCACCGGAGAGGAAGUGACGUAUUCCGCACAGGAAACGGAAGUCGGGCGCGGGUUCGGGCCGCCGCCAUGCUGUGUGUGGCAGGAGGGCAUUCGGAACCCCUGGGCUCUGACCUUCGGCCACUCCUGGCUUUCCUUAGUGUCAUGCUUCCGCCUCCCGCUCGUGAACCCAGCAGGUAAUCACCGCGAGCAUGUGUGGGGUGCAGCGUGACACGAACCAUGUUCACACCGUGUUAGGAUGACAUCAGGUGACCAGCCUGCCCGUCCCCUGGGACGCUCGCCGUUUCUCUCCUGUGGCUUCUUCCUCCUCCUGCCCGUGACCUUGCCUUGUUGACCCCUCGUGCUUUUCUGAUCUGUUCUGAUUAGUUGUCAGGACAGACACACGCACCUGGACACGUCGUACGUAAACGGAGCAGAGCUUCUCAUUCUCUGGUGGUUCAGGAUGGAGCGUCCAUCAGCUGUGCAGCCCUACAUACACACAGGGUGAUAAUGUCCACUUCACACUCGUCUCCCACCCUUACCCCUCCCCCCCCACUGCCCUCUACCCAAUCUAAAGCAACUCUGUUCUUCCCUAGCCACCACCACCAGCCCCCCACCAUUGUGAAUUGGCAUCAGAGAAAAUAUUUGGCUGUUGGUUUGGGGGAUUGGCUUCUUUCACUUAGCAUGAUAUUCUCCAGCCCCAUCCAUUUACUGGCAAAUGCCAUAAUUUCAUUCUUCUUUAAAGCUGAGUAAUAUUCCAUUGUGUAAAUACACCACUAUUUCUCUAUCCACUCAUCUGCUGAAGGACACCUGGACUGGUUUCAUGUGCUUUUCUAUUGAGUUAUUCACCUUAUAUAAUUUGAUGGAAUUAAAAAACCUAUCCCAGAUGUAAGUCCUUUAUUGGGUAAAUGAAUUGCAGUUAUCUUUUCCAAA